CAGCAGCCGCGGUAAUACAGAAGGUCCAAGCGUUAAUCGGAAUUACUGGGCGUAAAGCGCGCGUAGGUGGUUUGUUAAGUUGGAUGUGAAAGCCCCGGGCUCAACCUGGGAACUGCAUCCAAAACUGGCAAGCUAGAGUACGGUAGAGGGUGGUGGAAUUUCCUGUGUAGCGGUGAAAUGCGUAGAUAUAGGAAGGAACACCAGUGGCGAAGGCGACCACCUGGACUGAUACUGACACUGAGGUGCGAAAGCGUGGGGAGCAAACAGGAUUAGAGACCCCUGUAGUCCCUGUCUCUUAUAA
rnacentral:rRNA from 1 species